UACGAAGGGGGCUAGCGUUGCUCGGAAUCACUGGGCGUAAAGCGCACGUAGGUGGGUCGUUAAGUCAGGGGUGAAAUCCCGGAGCUCAACUCCGGAACUGCCUUUGAUACUGGCGACCUUCGAGUUCAGGAGAGGUGAGUGGAACUGCGAGUGUAGAGGUGAAAUUCGUAGAUAUUCGCAAGAACACCAGUGGCGAAGGCGGCUCACUGGCCGAUUAUUGACACUGAGCUGCGAAAGCAAGGGGAGCAAACAGG
rnacentral:rRNA from 1 species